rnacentral:rRNA from 1 species
AUUGAACGCUGGCGGCAGGCCUAACACAUGCAAGUCGAGCGAGCGGCGGACGGGUGAGUAAUGUCUGGGAAACUGCCCGAUGGAGGGGGAUAACUACUGGAAACGGUGGCUAAUACCGCAUACCAUCGGAUGUACCCAGAUGGGAUUAGCUAGUAGGUGGGGUAACGGCUCACCUAGGCGACGAUCCCUAGCUGGUCUGAGAGGAUGAUCAGCCACACUGGCACUGAGACACGGCCCAGACUCCUACGGGAGGCAGCAGUGGGGAAUAUUGCACAAUGGGCGCAAGCCUGAUGCAGCCAUGCCGCGUGUAUGAAGAAGGCCUUCGGGUUGUAAAGUACUUUCAGCGGGGAGGCGUUACCCGCAGAAGAAGCACCGGCUAACUCCGUGCCAGCAGCCGCGGUAAUUC